GACGAACGCUGGCGGCGUGCCUAAUACAUGCAAGUAGAACGCACAGUUUAUACCGUAGCUUGCUACACCAUAGACUGUGAGUUGCGAACGGGUGAGUAACGCGUAGGUAACCUGCCUGGUAGCGGGGGAUAACUAUUGGAAACGAUAGCUAAUACCGCAUAAUAUUAAUUAUUGCAUGAUAAUUAAUUGAAAGGUGCAAUUGCACCACUACCAGAUGGACCUGCGUUGUAUUAGCUAGUAGGUGAGGUAACGGCUCACCUAGGCGACGAUACAUAGCCGACCUGAGAGGGUGAUCGGCCACACUGGGACUGAGACACGGCUCAGACUCCUACGGGAGGCAGCAGUAGGGAAUCUUCGGCAAUGGACGAAAGUCUGACCGAGCAACGCCGCGUGAGUGAAGAAGGUUUUCGGAUCGUAAAGCUCUGUUGUAAGAGAAGAACGGGUGUGAGAGUGGAAAGUUCACACUGUGACGGUAUCUUACCAGAAAGGGACGGCUAACUACGUG
rnacentral:rRNA from 1 species